rnacentral:rRNA from 1 species
CACCUAUAAUCGUUUUAAUCGAUGGGGGGACGCAGUAGGAUAGGCGAAGCGUGCGAUUGGAUUGCACGUCUAAGCAGUAAGGCUGAGUAUUAGGCAAAUCCGGUACUCAUUAAGGCUGAGCUGUGAUGGGGAGAAGACAUUGUGUCUUCGAGUCGUUGAUUUCACACUGCCGAGAAAAGCCUCUAGAUAGAAAAUAGGUGCCCGUACCGCAAACCGACACAGGUAGUCAAGAUGAGAAUUCUAAGGUGAGCGAGCGAACUCUCGUUAAGGAACUCGGCAAAAUGACCCCGUAACUUCGGGAGAAGGGGUGCUCUUUAGGGUUAACGCCCAGAAGAGCCGCAGUGAAUAGGCCCAAGCGACUGUUUAUCAAAAACACAGGUCUCUGCUAAACCGUAAGGUGAUGUAUAGGGGCUGACGCCUGCCCGGUGCUGGAAGGUUAAGAGGAGUGGUUAGCUUCUGCGAAGCUACGAAUCGAAGCCCCAGUAAACGGCGGCCGUAACUAUAACGGUCCUAAGGUAGCGAAAUUCCUUGUCGGGUAAGUUCCGACCCGCACGAAAGGCGUAACGAUUUGGGCACUGUCUCAACGAGAGACUCGGUGAAAUCAUAGUACCUGUGAAGAUGCAGGUUACCCGCGACAGGACGGAAAGACCCCGUGGAGCUUUACUGUAGCCUGAUAUUGAAAUUCGGCACAGCUUGUACAGGAUAGGUAGGAGCCUUUGAAACGUGAGCGCUAGCUUACGUGGAGGCGCUGGUGGGAUACUACCCUAGCUGUGUUGGCUUUCUAACCCGCACCACUUAUCGUGGUGGGAGACAGUGUCAGGCGGGCAGUUUGACUGGGGCGGUCGCCUCCUAAAAGGUAACGGAGGCGCUCAAAGGUUCCCUCAGAAUGGUUGGAAAUCAUUCAUAGAGUGUAAAGGCAUAAGGGAGCUUGACUGCGAGACCUACAAGUCGAGCAGGGUCGAAAGACGGACUUAGUGAUCCGGUGGUUCCGCAUGGAAGGGCCAUCGCUCAACGGAUAAAAGCUACCCCGGGGAUAACAGGCUUAUCUCCCCCAAGAGUUCACAUCGACGGGGAGGUUUGGCACCUCGAUGUCGGCUCAUCGCAUCCUGGGGCUGUAGUCGGUCCCAAGGGUUGGGCUGUUCGCCCAUUAAAGCGGUACGCGAGCUGGGUUCAGAACGUCGUGAGACAGUUCGGUCCCUAUCCGUCGUGGGCGUAGGAAAUUUGAGAGGAGCUGUCCUUAGUACGAGAGGACCGGGAUGGACAUACCUCUGGUGUACCAGUUGUCGUGCCAACGGCAUAGCUGGGUAGCUAUGUGUGGACGGGAUAAGUGCUGAAAGCAUCUAAGCAUGAAGCCCCCCUCAAGAUGAGAUUUCCCAACUUCGGUUAUAAGAUCCCUCAAAGAUGAUGAGGUUAAUAGGUUCGAGGUGGAAGCAUGGUGACAUGUGGAGCUGACGAAUACUAA